rnacentral:rRNA from 1 species
CCUACGGGCGGCAGCAGUGAGGAAUAUUGGUCAAUGGGCGGGAGCCUGAACCAGCCAAGCCGCGUGAGGGAAGAAGGUACAGCGUAGCGUAACCCUCUUUUGUCAGGGAACAAAGUCGGGGUCUGGUCCCCGGAUGAUGCUACCUUAAGAAGAAGCAUCUGCUAACGCCUCGCCAGCCGCCGCGGUAAUAAGGAGGAUGCGAUCGUUCUCCGUAGGUAUUGGGUUAAGAGGGUGCGCAGGCGGCGUGUUACGUCAGCGGGAAACGCCCGGGGCUAAAACCCGGCGAGCCGGGGAAACUGGGGGGCUGGAGUGGGAGAGAAGUACGCGGAAGGCGCGGUGUAGCGGUGAAAUGCUUAGAGAUCGCGCAGAACCCCGAGUGCGAAGGCAGCGUACCGG